AGGACGAACGCUGGCGGCGUGCCUAAUACAUGCAAGUCGAGCGGACCGACGGGAGCUUGCUCCCUUAGGUCAGCGGCGGACGGGUGAGUAACACGUGGGUAACCUGCCUGUAAGACUGGGAUAACUCCGGGAAACCGGGGCUAAUACCGGAUGCUUGAUUGAACCGCAUGGUUCAAUCAUAAAAGGUGGCUUUUAGCUACCACUUACAGAUGGACCCGCGGCGCAUUAGCUAGUUGGUGAGGUAACGGCUCACCAAGGCGACGAUGCGUAGCCGACCUGAGAGGGUGAUCGGCCACACUGGGACUGAGACACGGCCCAGACUCCUACGGGAGGCAGCAGUAGGGAAUCUUCCGCAAUGGACGAAAGUCUGACGGAGCAACGCCGCGUGAGUGAUGAAGGUUUUCGGAUCGUAAAACUCUGUUGUUAGGGAAGAACAAGUACCGUUCGAAUAGGGCGGCACCUUGACGGUACCUAACCAGAAAGCCACGGCUAACUACGUGCCAGCAGCCGCGGUAAUACGUAGGUGGCAAGCGUUGUCCGGAAUUAUUGGGCGUAAAGCGCGCGCAGGCGGUUUCUUAAGUCUGAUGUGAAAGCCCCCGGCUCAACCGGGGAGGGUCAUUGGAAACUGGGGAACUUGAGUGCAGAAGAGGAGAGUGGAAUUCCACGUGUAGCGGUGAAAUGCGUAGAGAUGUGGAGGAACACCAGUGGCGAAGGCGACUCUCUGGUCUGUAACUGACGCUGAGGCGCGAAAGCGUGGGGAGCGAACAGGAUUAGAUACCCUGGUAGUCCACGCCGUAAACGAUGAGUGCUAAGUGUUAGAGGGUUUCCGCCCUUUAGUGCUGCAGCAAACGCAUUAAGCACUCCGCCUGGGGAGUACGGUCGCAAGACUGAAACUCAAAGGAAUUGACGGGGGCCCGCACAAGCGUGGAGCAUGUGGUUUAAUUCGAAGCAACGCGAAGAACCUUACCAGGUCUUGACAUCCUCUGACAACCCUAGAGAUAGGGCUUCCCCUUCGGGGGCAGAGUGACAGGUGGUGCAUGGUUGUCAGCUCGUGUCGUGAGAUGUUGGGUUAAGUCCCGCAACGAGCGCAACCCUUGAUCUUAGUUGCCAGCAUUCAGUUGGGCACUCUAAGGUGACUGCCGGUGACAAACCGGAGGAAGGUGGGGAUGACGUCAAAUCAUCAUGCCCCUUAUGACCUGGGCUACACACGUGCUACAAUGGGCAGAACAAAGGGCAGCGAAGCCGCGAGGCUAAGCCAAUCCCACAAAUCUGUUCUCAGUUCGGAUCGCAGUCUGCAACUCGACUGCGUGAAGCUGGAAUCGCUAGUAAUCGCGGAUCAGCAUGCCGCGGUGAAUACGUUCCCGGGCCUUGUACACACCGCCCGUCACACCACGAGAGUUUGUAACACCCGAAGUCGGUGAGGUAACCUUUUGGAGCCAGCCGCCGAAGGUGGGACAGAUGAUUGGGGUGAAGUCGU
rnacentral:rRNA from 1 species